rnacentral:rRNA from 1 species
AUUGAACGCUGGCGGCAUGCCUUACACAUGCAAGUCGAACGGCAGCAUAGGAGCUUGCUCCUGAUGGCGAGUGGCGAACGGGUGAGUAAUAUAUCGGAACGUGCCCUAGAGUGGGGGAUAACUAGUCGAAAGACUAGCUAAUACCGCAUACGAUCUACGGAUGAAAGUGGGGGAUCGCAAGACCUCAUGCUCCUGGAGCGGCCGAUAUCUGAUUAGCUAGUUGGUGGGGUAAAAGCCUACCAAGGCAACGAUCAGUAGCUGGUCUGAGAGGACGACCAGCCACACUGGGACUGAGACACGGCCCAGACUCCUACGGGAGGCAGCAGUGGGGAAUUUUGGACAAUGGGGGCAACCCUGAUCCAGCAAUGCCGCGUGAGUGAAGAAGGCCUUCGGGUUGUAAAGCUCUUUUGUCAGGGAAGAAACGGUGGUGGCGAAUAACUACUACUAAUGACGGUACCUGAAGAAUAAGCACCGGCUAACUACGU